rnacentral:rRNA from 1 species
ACCGUGGAGGGUCAUUGGAAACUGGAAAACUGGAGUGCAGAAGAGGAAAGUGCAAUUCCAUGUGUAGCGGUGAAAUGCGCAGAGAUAUGGAGGAACACCAGUGGCGAAGGCGACUUUCUGGUCUGUAACUGACGCUGAUGUGCGAAAGCGUGGGGAUCAAACAGGAUUAGAUACCCUGGUAGUCCACGCCGUAAACGAUGAGUGCUAAGUGUUAGGGGGUUUCCGCCCUUUAGUGCUGCAGCUAACGCAUUAAGCACUCCGCCUGGGGAGUACGACCGCAAGGUUGAAACUCAAAGGAAUUGACGGGGACCCGCACAAGCGGUGGAGCAUGUGGUCUAAUUCGAAGCAACGCGAAGAACCUUACCAAAUCUUGACAUCCUUUGACCGCUCUAGAGAUAGAGUCUUCCCCUUCGGGGGACAAAGUGACAGGUGGUGCAUGGUCGUCGUCAGCUCGUGUCGUGAGAUGUUGGGUUAAGUCCCGCAACGAGCGCAACCCUUAAGCUUAGUUGCCAUCAUUUAGUUGGGCACUCUAAGUUGACUGCCGGUGACAAACCGGAGGAAGGUGGGGAUGACGUCAAAUCAUCAUGCCCCUUAUGAUUUGGGCUACACACGUGCUACAAUGGACAAUACAAAGGGCAGCGAAACCGCGAGGUCAAGCAAAUCCCAUAAAGUUGUUCUCAGUUCGGAUUGUAGUCUGCAACUCGACUACAUGAAGCUGGAAUCGCUAGUAAUCGUAGAUCAGCAUGCUACGGUGAAUACGUUCCCGGGUCUUGUACACACCGCCCGUCACACCACGAGAGUUUGUAACACCCGAAGCCGGUGGAG